AUGAACGCUGGCGGCGUGCCUCACACCUGCAAGUCGCGCGGCAGCGAGGGGUGCUUGCACCCUGUCGGCGAGCGGCGGACGGCUGAGUAACGCGUGGGAACGUGCCCCAAAGUGAGGAAUAACUGCCCGAAAGGGUAGCUAAUACCGCAUAUUAUCUUCGGAUCAAAGGAUUUAUCCGCUUUGGGAGCGGCUCGCGUCGGAUUAGGUAGUUGGUGAGGUAAUGGCUCACCAAGCCGACGAUCCGUAGCUGGUCUGAGAGGAUGACCAGCCAGACUGGAACUGAGACACGGUCCAGACUCCUACGGGAGGCAGCAGUGAGGAAUCUUCCACAAUGGGCGAAAGCCUGAUGGAGCAACGCCGCGUGCAGGACGAAGGCCUUCGGGUUGUAAACUGCUUUUAUAAGUGAGGAAUAUGACGGUAACUUAUGAAUAAGGAUCGGCUAACUACGUG
rnacentral:rRNA from 1 species